UGCUGUCAAAUACAUCCAACAAGCCCAUAGCAGAUAAAUCCGAUUUAAGGUCAUAGCUUUCUUCUAGCUUAAAUUUCGGCAAAUACACAUUAACAUCAGUGGAAUACAGGUGAUGUGGAUGUGUCCAUUCCUGGAGCUUCUCAAAGCUUGAGAUGAAGAUGACAAAAGUGGAUUCAGGCACUACUGAAAAAUGCAAUUAGUGCAAAAGAGCAAUCGUAUUGUGAAGAAACAAACUUCCUGGAGUAAUAGUGGCUAUUCUGCCAAGACAUCUUUUUAGGGAGAGCAAAACCUGCCACAGAACAAAAUGCUAGAAGUUUUGUUAUGCCGGAUGAAGAAGAAGAAGGGAUGAUCAGCAGUAAAUUCUGGAACGAUCAUUGCACAGCGCAGCAUCAUCACUCCUGCUGUGGCAGCUGCCGCUUCAGUGCCUUCUUCGUUGACUUCUAUGAAGGACUUGUGAACCACUUCAGAGAGCACCAACUCGUUGCCAGAUGAGAUUCCUGAGAAGUCUGCCUUCAUCAAGUCAAACGCAUCAGGCAUUCCCAUGCUGCUCAGAAUGGGUUUCAAAUCAUAAUUUUCUUCCAGUUUAAAUCUGGGUAAAGACACCUUCACCUCUGUGUAGUCCAUCAUUUCAGGAUUAAUCCACUCCAUCAGCUUCUCAUACGUAAGUUCCCUUUCCAGCUUAAAAAAGUUAUGUAAUUCAAAUGAGAAAAGAGUCACAGAUUCACAAAGCCAAAAGUGGUGACUACUGUAUGUGUUUAAAUGGUGCAUGCAUGUAUCUUUCUUUUUCAUAAUUCAGAGGCUCUCAAGCUCAAAGUGCAAGUCUUAUCUAGACUUGCUUACAGGGGCCCAUAUGCUUUUUGUGAUAAGAUACAGAAAGAAUCAGUCCCUUCCUCAUUAAGUUUGCUUUACAAAACAAGUUAGAUUGUUAAACCCUAUUUUACAUAUGCUAAACUUUACAUAAGCUACAGAAAAACUAAUCCUUGUUUUCUAAGUCCCAAAGAAAUUGAACCUAGCUCUUCUAUCUCAAAGAAAAGGUCAUCCUUCAGGUUGACAGGCCUGAUGAAAAGGCCUGCUCACAAUACCCUGUGCAGCCAAUGCUGGACUAUAUGAUUAAUGAAUUCCUUGGUUGGUUAUCUCCAGAACAAAAGAGAUCCUAGAGAUUCUGGUGAGCCUGUUUCCAGAUGGUAGGCCAAAGACAACUUUCCAGCUGUUCAGAAAUGAACAUCUAUGGGUCAGGGACUUCCUACAUGGACUUCCUAAGAGCCUCUCAGAACCCCUGCUCAUUUGGUGGGGACUAUACUACGCCUUCACCUUAACUAUAGCUAACUCCUACUCCCAUUGAGGGUUAUGCCUUCUUCCAGAGUCUUGCUCUCAGUAGGGGGCAGCACACAGCUUGACCAGCAGUGACACAAGUUAGGCCAGUCACUUUGGACAUGGGGCAUAUUGGACAUUUCAGCCAGUAUUGGGCACCAGUGACACAAGAGAUUUGGAAUUCAACUUGCAGGUCUGUAUGCAAUAUCAAACUCCUUUCUGGCAUGAUACAAACUGUCUUUGCAUUUAGUUUAACAACUUACACUUUCCAAGCCAGUGGAUCCAUCCUGGAUUGCAUCGGGGAGCAGGAUGAUCAUGCUGAGUUCAUUAUCAACAUAAGGGAGCUCAAGGAUUUUGGUCUGGAAGUCCCCAUUAUAGGUCAUGUUAAAUUUAUCUUUCUUGAACAUCAUCUGCACAGGUUUACUCUCAUUCUAAAAAUAAAGUGAUGUCAAGUUAAUACUAAGCUAGUAUGCUGGUCUUAAAAUAAGAGGUUGGCAUCCAGUUACUCAGAGCUUUUUAAAAUUUGACUGUACAGAGAACUAGAACAUGCUGUGGGGUAUAGCCCUGCCACUGCUUUUAGUAAAGCAAGGGAUGAGACCUAAGGAUCCUUAAGAUUUAUUUUUUAAUUGUUAAUGUGGAAGUAUAUGUGAAGUGUCUGUAAAGAGGCAAGAACAUGCUUUUACAUACUCAAGAAUUAGCAUUCCUUUUAACAGCGUAGAUAGGAAGCAUGGCCUAUCUUCCUUGCUUUAUAUGAUACAAAAUAAUUUUAAUUUAGAUAUUUUCAUUUUUUUGUGGCUAUAUGUGCUAUCGAAUAACAGAAUUAAAAUAUUUUAACAUGCCACUAAAAAUGCCCCCAAAAUGAGGGCACUAUUUUGAGCCCUUAAAGAUCACAGGGACAUUAGGGAGAGAUUUUCUUCUCAUUCUCCACUGGGUCCUUUCUUUUUUUGCAUAGAGCAUCAGUUACUAUUGUUUAAUUCAUUGUCUUCCUUUUCAGUUAAGGGUUCCAUUGUUUUCCUGUGUAACCUUGAUGAGAUUAUCAUGCAAAAAUUUAAAGUAAAGUAAAGCCCACUGAAACAAAGCGAGAAUAUCCCAGAGAUAAUUUUGCAACUCUGAAAGCUUUUUCAAUAUGUAUCUCAAUAGUGAUAGGGUAAGAUGCAAGGCACCAAGUCAGUCUGUUGGUUUCUGAAGUUCUGUAUACAUAGUAUGGAGUAAGCUACAAAAUUCCCUAUUUGAAAAACUGUAGUAGUAGCUUUAGACAUUCUUGGAUGUAUUUCACCACUGAGGGAGGGAUAGUUUUAAAUUGAGCACAACAGUUUCAAUUUUGCAGUGUUUGUUUAAAGAAGGUGAAUUUCUGAGGGAGUCACAUUACCAGUUCUUGUUAAUGACAUCUGGCAACAUACCCAGAGUUUGAGGUAAUCUCCAAGAAGCAGGCCUGGCCCACUAAUCAUAAUGGCUGAGUUUUCUAGAAUAGCAUAGGUUUACUUCCAAAAGAGAAAAAGUCCAGUACUGAUGUCUUUGAAGAAACGGUUACUCCCCCAUUUAUUUUGCAUCAAUUCCAUGGUAAAAAUGCAGUGAAAAAGCAUUUUCGCUGAAGAAGGCUAUUGCAUUCAGAAGUUUCUGAACAUGUACAAAUGUUCCUUCUGCCUACAGCCUAAAAGUACAAUCCUUUUCUUAUGCACACCAGUUUCAUGCUGAAAUAGUCAAGUUCACUUGAUGAUUGUUCACUGACUUUUGUGAAGUUGUUCUUGAGUUGCCAUUCACGUGAGAAAAGAAUUAGUAAGCUCAGAUUUUUGACAAGGAAGUAAACCCUUAAAGCCUUUAUGAAGCUGUGCAUUGCAACUGCUUUGCCCUCUUUUCAGCCACGUAAAAAAAGGCAGAGAAAGGGGCAGACUUUGUAAAUAUUUUCAGGUUUGAGGGAGUUCUGUAUGCAGAAGUACUGGACUACAGGCCAUGGAGGCUAAAUGAUUUAUAAUUUCUUCUGCCAGCACCUUGUAGAUUCCCACAGAAUUACAUGACAGGUUCACUUAGCAAUGUUCUCUUCAGAAGUUGUUUUAAGUUCUGUAACUACACAUAGGACUGCCUUUCUCAAGCACAGAAAAUAAAGGUAAUAAGAAAAAAGAAACAGAAUAAAAAUUUAAUUUUGAUACUAAAAGUUUUAGAAAAUAUGUGAAAAAAUUAGCAGAAAAUAAACAAAGAGGAUGUUCAUACUAAAGGGACAGAGUAGAAGCAAUUCCUUACAGUCUACCUAUGGUAACCCUGUGUAAAUGUAUUUUUCCUUCCAAGUUACAUGUAACAUUGUACUGCCACCAUUUCAGCAUAGCAUACCUUGUUAAUUUUAAAUGGCAUUUCCACCGUCUUCUCUUUGUUGAACUGGCUCUCCCAGUUGCCUUUGAAAUAGAUGGCAUUCACCAACACAAGUCUGGUCAUUGAAUUAAUAAUCCCCUGAGCCAACAGGUUCUGAAUUUUACCUUUGAGAUACAUUUGAAGGAAAACAAAUUUUAACAACUAGGCAUGUAUCUAAUUAUUAACAAAUACAGUAUAUGUGAUAGAUAGUAUCAAUCUGAUAGUGAAAGCUCAGGAUUUGUUAAAAAUCCAAUAAAUUUUAUCUUGAAAUAGCAGUUUAUCCAAGCCCUGAGUGCCUUUAAGUGCAAGAUGGUGUUUUACAAAACACUUACCUUCAGUCUUUUUUUCUACCCAAUCGUUUAUUUGUUUUCUGGAAUCCUCUGAAGAAUGCACAAAGUCAGUUUGUUCUAGUCCAGCAUGAUAGAAUUUCUGACUUGAUUCUGUAAAUGACUACAAUGAACAUUAAGCACAGAAUUUCAGCAAUGUAUUUUACUCAUGUUCAGUCACAGACUAUUCCUAAACACACUGAGAAAAUCUGCCCUCUCUCUUCCCUCAGUUUCAUACAGCACCAUUAAAGUUUUGUCUGACACCCUCCUAUUACUUCUUCUUCUUUGUUUUUUUUUUAACCUACUAAUCAAACUACAAAUUGUCUUCCAUUUUUAUGUUACUAAGCCAAACUGGUUUGGCUAGGGCACUGCUAGAGAGUCCAAUAAAACUGAACUGAGAGAUGAUAUGAUUCCAGUUCUUUUGGUUUCAGUCAGAGAACACACAAUGCUGUAAGCCUGUUUCUACAUAAACUUAGUUGUUAGAACUCCCAGACUAACAAAAACACUUUUAGUUCAGAGGUGAAACAGUGAUUUUUCAUACAGAGAAAAAACAUACCUUGUCUCCAAUUUCAUAUAUUUAGAUCUUUAUUAUAUAGAUCCAAAUUUUCAAUGUUUAAUCUUGGCAAUUUUAAGCAAGCUUGAUUGAAACUCUUGAUUGGUGCUAAUUUACAGCAUUUUUUCACACAAAAAAGAUUGCAAAUUAGGAAAAGCAACAGGAUUGUACCAGCCUGAAUAAUAAAAAGCAUUACAAGAAUUCUUAAGACAUAAAUUCCUACAUGGUUUCAUCACUCCCUGAAAAUAAAAAUAAAACGCAUAGAUGUAUUUCUAGGGAAAUGACUAAAGGAACAUGCAUGACACAGUAUCUAUUAUUCUUCUUUAUACCUUCUGAAAUGGAAACUAUUACAAAUCAUAUGCCCUUUCUAGCGUAUUAUCUGGAUAACAGAGAAAAGACAAACUAUAAAAUACUGCUUAUGCUAGACUGCAAUAAAAAUUCUCCUUUUCACCACAUUAACACAUGAUCAAAUGAAAAGAGAGAUAUCAAAUACUUAGCCCAUAGCCAAAAGAUGUGUGAACUGUGCAUUUAAUCUGACAGUUUUUAUAGUGCUUUGCACCAUCACAGGGCUAUCAAACAGGAGCUUCUUGAACAAAUUCAGAUACUGCCAUUUUGAGGACAGUCUUUGGGUUGGUAGGUCUCAGUCUAGAAAGAACUAGUGAAGUAAAAUACAAUGCCUGUAUGUGCUCUCCAACGGGAACGUGUAGUGAGAAUUUUAUACUUCAAAACCCCACAAAUUUAAGGUUUACUUACGGAAAGAAAUUCAAAUGUCUUUUCUCCGUAUAACCGGUUAGCUGUUCUGAGCACAUACUUGGUAUCUGGAUUGUUAAUUUCAGAAAGAAGUAAUUGAUACCCAUUGUGAACAUCUUCAGCUUUGCUCAAAGAAAGCACCUGUAGAAAGGCAAACAAUUUCUGCAGAGUCUAUGUCACCUCUAAAACACUUGGUUGAGUGCAAUUAUUUUUACCAGUUUUGAGAUCAAAAAUUGACUUCAACUGACUAGAGCAAGCCAUGGAGGGCAGCAGAUUUUUCAUCACAUUACCUAUGUGCAGCUGAUCAUGCAAGUUACAAAUGAUGUGUGCACAGUCAGAUGUUGUAAGUGUAGUAAGUUAAGGUGCAGAAGGGUCAGCGGUAUACAGCUUCCUUCAUUCUAUCCAAGCAUUAAGGGAUAUUCAUUUAAAAACAAAAUUUUGGAGAACCUGUAAUGAAACCACCAGCACAAAAAACUACUGUAUUUAUAAAAUAAAUUUUAUAAUUUCCACUCCAUUCACCAUACUUGCUUUUCAUAAAGUCUUGUCGCUUUCAUAGAUUUAAAUGAAAACAAAACAUGUUUGUCCUCCUCUUUCACUACGCAAAAAGAGGUACACAUAAGAAGAAAAACAGCUGAUUAUGCAUUUCAUGUUGUCAAUUGUAUAAAUAGAAAAGUAUGCAAGUGGCAUUACUUGGGUAUGUUAAAUAAAGUCAUCUAAUGCACAGUUAUUGUUUUCUCCUGUGCUAACAAUAGCCCUUUGUACAGCCCAUUUCUCAGAGUUGAAAGCAACAUCUUACGCAAUGCCUUCAAAUAACUGUAAAAGUAAAAUUCUGCUGCUAUUUGUGUUCCUAAAUGGGUACAUACUCAAUUCUGUCUGUCUGUCAGUGGCCUUUUUCUGUAAUGUCUUUAUCACUGUGCUCUCUCAGCCCUAUUUUAUUAAAGAAGUAAAUGAAUUACAGUACCUGAAAUGCCACACUUGGCAUAAUUCUACUAGGAAAAUGUUCAUGAGUACGGGUGUCUGUUGCUUGACUUGAAAUCUUUACAUGAAAAGGUAGUAUUUUCAUUACUUAAAAACAUCUACGAAAUAAAUGAAUAUUAAAACUUA